GACGAACGCUGGCGGCGUGGAUUAGGCAUGCAAGUCGAACGGUAUCAUCCUUUCGGGGGUGAGAGAGUGGCGAACUGGUGAGUAACACGUAGGUUAUCUACCCUCAAGACGGGGACAACCCAGGGAAACUUGGGCUAAUACCGGAUGUGAGCAACUUUUAGUUGUUUGAAAGGUGGCGUAAGCUGUCGCUUGGGGAUGAGCCUGCGUCCUAUUAGUUAGUUGGUGAGGUAACGGCUCGCCUAGGCAAUGAUAGGUAGGCGGCCUUAACGGGUGGUCGCCCACACUGGGAUUGAGAUACGGCCCAGACUCCUACGGGAGGCAGCAGUCGAGAAUAGUCUACAAUGGUCGGAAGACUGAUAGUGCGACGCCGCGUGAACGAUGAAUCCCUUCGGGGUGUAAAGUUCUUUUAUAUGUGAGCAGUGCUUCUUAUAUUAACAGUAUGGGGAGAGAGAUAUUAGCAUAUGAAUAAGCAACGGCUAACUCCGUGCCAGCAGCCGCGGU
rnacentral:rRNA from 1 species